rnacentral:rRNA from 1 species
AAGGUAGCGCAAUCAAUUGUCUUUUAAAUGGAGACCUGUAUGAAUGGCAUAACGAGGGUUUAACUGUCUCUUUUUUUCGGUCAAUGAAACUGAUCUGCCCGUGCAGAAGCGGGCAUACCCACACAAGACGAGAAGACCCUAUGGAGCUUUAGACGCUCACCAACCACUAAAAGAGACCCGAUCUAACGGGCUUUCAAACAAUGUGGCCCUGGUAUAAACGUCUUCGGUUGGGGCGACCGCGGAGGAGAGAAAAGCCUCCGAGAGGAUUGGGGGAAACCCUAAAACCAAGAGCCACAGCUCUAAGUCACAAAAUAUUUGACCGACAACGAUCCGGCUUCUUGCCGAUCAACGGACCAAGUUACCCUAGGGAUAACAGCGCAAUCCCCUCCCAGAGUCCAUAUCGACGAGGGGGUUUACGACCUCGAUGUUGGAUCAGGACAUCCUAAUGGUGCAGCCGCUAUUAAGGGUUCGUUUGUUCAACGAUUAAAG